GCAACCUGCCCCGAAGACCGGGAUAACACCGGGAAACCAGUGCUAAUACCGGAUACCCCCACGAGCCCACAUGGGCAUGUGAGGAAAGGAUUCCGCUUCGGGAGGGGCUCGCGGCCUAUCAGCUUGUUGGUGGGGUAACGGCCUACCAAGGCAACGACGGGUAGCUGGUCUGAGAGGACGAUCAGCCACACUGGGACUGAGACACGGCCCAGACUCCUACGGGAGGCAGCAGUAGGGAAUCUUGCGCAAUGGGCGAAAGCCUGACGCAGCAACGCCGCGUGGGGGAUGAAGGCCUUCGGGUUGUAAACUCCUUUCAGUGGGAACGAAACUGACGGUACCCACAGAAGAAGCCC
rnacentral:rRNA from 1 species